rnacentral:lncRNA from 1 species
AAAAUUCAGUUUUUAGCAGGUGUGCUUCCUGACCAAAGAAGUCAGAUGAGUGCAUGAGCAGCCCCUUCGAGGACAAGGCUUGGAUUCCCAGGAGCAGACAAGGAACUCUGUGGGCAUACUCCAAGGAAACUGGGGAGAAAAUGGACCAGUCUCACCAAUGAAAAAGAAAUUUUUCUUCAUUUCUUGAAGUCACUUUUUAUGAUACAUUAUUAUAUGAUAUACUAUCUCACAGUUAUUAAGGGUGCUGGCCGGUAUAAACUGGAAAUGUAUGGUUGGACAACUAGGUGCCCAUGACCAACUCCUCAUUGUGGAUGAAUUUACUCUGGUUGGACUUUCUCAGGAAAGGGCAGCAGAACUCAUGACUACAACCAGUUCCAUGGUUACACUGGAAGUUGCAAAUCAAGGCAUCCUCUCUCACUGCCUGUCCACCUGUCUUACCCAGCCAUUGUCCUCCAUGGUGCAGAGAGCUCUUACCCCAUCCAAGGAAGAGCUUCAGGAAGUUUAACCUACUUGAGCUCCACUGAGUAGAGGCUGGCAAGGGUCUCUAGUGUGACAGUGAUAUGUGGAUCCAGAGGUCCUCAGUGGAAUCUAGCACAUGCAGCCAGGAGCACCUGAACUCUUCCUCCAAGUCAGUUGCCCCUGCUUCCACUCUGACCAAGAGUGGUCCUGGCCAUUGGGAAACCCCAGCAGAGGUGCUGCCCACCCCUGUGACUGUCUCCCAGCCCAUAUGAACAGACCUCCCUCCACCACCUCCUCUACCACAGGUCCACUACACCAGAUAU